AAAAAAUUUUUAUUUACCCAAACCAAAACAUUUUUUAAACCUAGUAAAGGAGAUUAAAAAGUUAACAGGAGCUAUAAAACUAGUACCGCAAGGGAAAGAUGAAAUAAAAAUGAAAUAAAUUAAAGUAAAGAAAAACAGAGAUUAACCCUCGUACCUUUUGCAUCAUGGUUUAACUAGUUUAACCAAGCAAAAAGAAUUCAAGUUUGACUUCCCGAAACUACGUGAGCUACUUCAAGGCAGCUUAUUGAGCUAACCCGUCUCUGUUGCAAAAGAGUGGGGAGACCUUCAAGUAGGGGUGAUAGACCUACCGAACCUAGUGAUAGCUGGUUAUUCAAGAAAAGAAUAUUAGUUCAACUAAAAAUUAUACCAAUGCUAAUAAAUUACGUUUUAAUUUUUAAGUAAUUCAAAUAAGGUACAGCCUAUUUGAACCAGGAUACAACCUAAACUACUGGGUAAAUUUAUUAACUCUUAUAUUUAAGUGGGCCUAAUAGCAGCCAACUUUCAAAAAGCGUCAAAGCUUAUCUAAAUACAACUUUAAUACCUUAAUAAACUAAAAACCCUUAAUUCAUAUUGAAUACUUCUAUACUUUCUAUAGAAUUUUUUAUGUUAAAACUAGUAACAAGAAGGAAAAACUUCUCUUCAAUGUAAAUGUAGGACGGCCAGGAUACUCCACCGACAAUUAACGCCUAUGAAUUAUUAGUAAAAACACCACAAGAAAAAUUUACUGCUUUUCACGUUAACCUUACACAAGAACAUUACAAGAAAGAUUAAAAGAAAAGGAAGGAACUCGGCAAAUUUUAACCUCGCCUGUUUACCAAAAACAUCGCCUCUUGCCAAUUAUAAGAGGUCUAGCCUGCCCAGUGAAUUAAUUUAACGGCCGCGGUAUCCUAACCGUGCGAAGGUAGCGUAAUCACUUGUUCUUUAAAUGAGGACUAGUAUGAAUGGCAUCACGAAGGUUAAACUGUCUCCCCUCUCUAAUCAGUGAAACUGAUCUCCCCGUGAAGAAGCGGGGGUAAUUUUAUAAGACGAGAAGACCCUAUGGAGCUUUAAACUAUGCAACAAUUGCUAUUUUAUUUAACAAUCCCAGAAUAUUAAACCUUAUUUUAACAAUCUGUUUGCUAGUUUUCGGUUGGGGUGACCGCGGAGCAUAAAUCAACCUCCACGAUGAAAGAAACUAUAUUUCUUAACCCAGAGUUACAACUCAAAGUACCAAAAAUUUGACAUAAAUUGAUCCAAUGUAUUCCGUUUGAUCAACGAACCAAGUUACCCUAGGGAUAACAGCGCAAUCCACUUCAAGAGCCCCUAUCGACAAGUGGGUUUACGACCUCGAUGUUGGAUCAGGGUAUCCU
rnacentral:rRNA from 1 species